UAUUUUUGGGUUUUUCUAUAAAAAAGCAAAAUUAAUUUCGAACACAAUGAAGAUCAUAGUGUGUUAUAACAAAAAAAAUCUUUAAAACUUCAUUACUUACACGAUAAUGCUUAUCUUGGCUCCAAACUUCGUAAAUAAACAAGAUCAACACUUCUUGAAUAUCAAUGUUUGUUCGCAAUUAAUGUUUGUUCCUGGGUUCAUCUUUAACUCAACAAUUAUUAUCAAUAAUUUUAUAAUAUUAUAACAUGUAAUGAUGAUUUUGCAUUAAUUAUAACAAGAGUCACGUCUAAACUUUUUGGGCCAUUAAAUGUUGAUGUCAUUUCGUUUUUAAUGGAAAAAAUCUCCCUUCUAACUGUACAGCCACACUCCUCAACGUGAAACAAAAAUAAUUCCAACUAAACCGGAACAGUGUACCUAACUAAAUCUGACUAACUAAACCGUACAUUCAACAGUUUCUCAGCUGUAGCAGCAAGGGCAAAAUGGUCAAAUUUUAGCUGAAAAGACAAAACGUGAAAACCACCUUUCACUUUGCCAAUCCUUGAAAAUAAAACAUGGUCAAAGGGUGUGGCACAAUUAUGUGAACAAACAAAAACAUAAUUGAAAGUAAAUAAAUUCUCUUAAUUUUUCCAAAUUGUUUUUAGAAAGAAAUCAAAUUAGUUUUGGGA
rnacentral:sRNA from 1 species